rnacentral:rRNA from 1 species
UACGGAGGGGGCAAGCGUUGUUCGGAUUUACUGGGCGUAAAGGGUGUGUAGGCGGCUGGAUAAGUCUGGCGUGAAAUCUUCACCGCUUAACGGGAAGGGGUCGCUGGAAACUGUUCAGCUUGAGUAUGGUAGAGGCAAGCGGAAUUCCUGGUGUAGCGGUGGAAUGUGUAGAUAUCAGGAAGAACACCGGUGGCGAAGGCGUCUUGCUGGGCCAUCACUGACGCUGAGACACGAAAGCGUGGGGAGCAAACGGG